rnacentral:rRNA from 1 species
GUACACAAAAAUGCACAUAUUGUGAGCUCGAUGAGUAGGGCGGGACACGUGGUAUCCUGUCUGAAUAUGGGGGGACCAUCCUCCAAGGCUAAAUACUCCUGACUGACCGAUAGUGAACCAGUACCGUGAGGGAAAGGCGAAAAGAACCCCGGCGAGGGGAGUGAAAAAGAACCUGAAACCGUGUACGUACAAGCAGUGGGAGCCUCUUAAUGGGGUGACUGCGUACCUUUUGUAUAAUGGGUCAGCGACUUAUAUUCUGUAGCAAGGUUAACCGAAUAGGGGAGCCGAAGGGAAACCGAGUCUUAACUGGGCGUUAAGUUGCAGGGUAUAGACCCGAAACCCGGUGAUCUAGCCAUGGGCAGGUUGAAGGUUGGGUAACACUAACUGGAGGACCGAACCGACUAAUGUUGAAAAAUUAGCGGAUGACUUGUGGCUGGGGGUGAAAGGCCAAUCAAACCGGGAGAUAGCUGGUUCUCCCCGAAAGCUAUUUAGGUAGCGCCUCGUGAAUUCAUCUCCGGGGGUAGAGCACUGUUUCGGCAAGGGGGUCAUCCCGACUUACCAACCCGAUGCAAACUGCGAAUACCGGAGAAUGUUAUCACGGGAGACACACGGCGGGUGCUAACGUCCGUCGUGAAGAGGGAAACAACCCAGACCGCCAGCUAAGGUCCCAAAGUCAUGGUUAAGUGGGAAACGAUGUGGGAAGGCCCAGACAGCCAGGAUGUUGGCUUAGAAGCAGCCAUCAUUUAAAGAAAGCGUAAUAGCUCACUGGUCGAGUCGGCCUGCGCGGAAGAUGUAACGGGGCUAAACCAUGCACCGAAGCUGCGGCAGCGACACUAUGUGUUGUUGGGUAGGGGAGCGUUCUGUAAGCCUGUGAAGGUGGCCUGUGAGGGUUGCUGGAGGUAUCAGAAGUGCGAAUGCUGACAUAAGUAACGAUAAAGCGGGUGAAAAGCCCGCUCGCCGGAAGACCAAGGGUUCCUGUCCAACGUUAAUCGGGGCAGGGUGAGUCGACCCCUAAGGCGAGGCCGAAAGGCGUAGUCGAUGGGAAACAGGUUAAUAUUCCUGUACUUGGUGUUACUGCGAAGGGGGGACGGAGAAGGCUAUGUUGGCCGGGCGACGGUUGUCCCGGUUUAAGCGUGUAGGCUGGUUUUCCAGGCAAAUCCGGAAAACC